UGUUAAGUUCUAGAAAUAAAGAAAUGACAGUGAGAGGGGAGACAGAUCCGUACGUCAACCAAUUUAUAGUUUAAUGAAGAAAACAGACAAGUAGACAAAAAAUUCAUAUUCAAUGUAAGUACUGUACUAAGGUAGAGCAAAAUAAAGGAUCCUCUCUACGAAAGGCAGCCUGAGUGGUUAAGGAAAUUCCCUGGAAUGCAAUGAUUUAGAUCAGAGCUGAGUCUUGAAAGACUGGAAGCCUUGCCUAUGCAUCUCGGUCCACAGUCUCCUUGCCAGCAUUCAUCAGCCAGUGCAAACAUUUAUAGAGCAUGUUUGCAGGGCUCUGGCUUGGGUCCUUGGUGAGUCAGUACUCUUCUCCCUCAAGAAGGAUGAGUCCCCACACACAAAGUGGGAUUCUCCACCCAGUCAGAGCUCAUCUAGUGGCUCAGGAGGAAUUGCACUGGUCAGACGGCUCAGACCACGAAGACUGGGGAUUCUAAUUUCAGUUUUGCAUAUUGAGGAAGAAGAAAAUUAGUCAACUUCAUUUUGCAAGCAUCUAUACCUCAUUCCACCCCAACAUCUCUCUUUUAUUCAGCAAGUCAGUAAACCUUUUCUUCCCCUCAAUUGCUGAAUUUAGCUACUUAUCAUAAGGCCUAUUAGAUUUUCGCUUUUACUUUUGAUAUUUCAGCCUUGAGGUAAGGCUGGUGGCACCGCAUUCGGUUGGUUUUUAUGUUACUGGAACAAUAUUUUCUUUUCUUCCCUGUGUGGGCUCUCCUGUGUUUUUUCUUUCAUGAGAUUUUUAGAAUGCUUAUGAUUCCACGGGUUCCACAUGAGCCAUUUCCAAGGAAAAUGGGCCACAUGAGGUCAUGGAUCACGUGGUCACCACCAUGACGUAAGGGAGUGAGGGUCCCCAGUUUCACCACAAAAGUAUUAGGCUGCCUCUUUUUUAAGUCCUAUCUUGACUGCUAAGCAUCUUGAAAGAUAGUUUCUUUUAGAGACUAAUCUCCCUGGAUUUUCCAGCAGAAUAAGAGUCAAGAUCAUCUAAUCUAUAAAUGACAAACUGGUGGCCUGCAGGGCAAAUUUGACCAGACUGACAGAUUUUGUUUGGCAUUCAUGGUAUUUUUAAACAUUUUAAUUAAGUUGCCCACAAAUCAAACUUAGAUGAUUUCACAUAAAAAUCUGAAUUUCCAGCUUGUUUUAAAAAACUGGAAGAUUUGGCGUAAUUCAGCCCACACUCCAAUUAGGAUCAGUUCUUGCAGGAGUAAUAGCUACCUCUGAAACAGAGAUGCGUGUUCUCCAUCUCACCUUAACCACCACCCCACCCCAAUCUCCCCUCAGUGAAUUGCACUCUGAGCCUUUGCAGGCAUCUUCCGUUCCUGAACUAGUCCAACUCCUCCACUUUACAGAAAAAGAAAUUGAGACCCAGAGAGACCUCAAGAUUUUCCUGGGCUUAGAGUUGGUGAUACAACCAGAACCAGAACUUGAACAUGAGUCUCUGCUCCACUUUCUACUUCAAGAUGCUGUCUUUCCUAUUUACAUCCAUGACCGACUGCUCACCAUGAUUAACCGCUUCAGGCCAGUGUCCUAGCCAAGACUGCAGAAGGACUGGACAACCCCAAACUCUAAGCGACAAGGAAUCAUGGCUCGAAUCCUAACAUUUGGAUUUUGAAGAGGUUUGAUUAUUUUGACUUAUUUUUUUUCACCCAACACCUAUUUUCUUUUCUGCGGCACAUUGUAUCAGGUGGAUACGAAAGUAACAGGCAAAUGUUUUUCUGGUCAUUGUACGUCUGUGUCCAUAAGAGGAAGUGUUGUUCCUGCUGACAAGGAUUUCUAGUUAGCUUGAUGGGGAUAGUCCAUUUGAAAUAUUAUGCCACUGUCCCAGAUUCAUUUUAUAACACAGAUGCGGUAGAUUUUCAUUUUACCCUUGCGCCUGGUGCGACUUAGUCAGCAAACAUUAUUGUACACUCUUAAUCAUGAGCUUCUUUCCAAAAACAUCCUGUCGGUUCUUAUGGAGUUGACGCUUUUCUGAGUGUGAAAUGGUGCUUUCCCCACAGAGCUCCUUCACACCAGCCAGGAGCCUAACAGAAUCCAAAAGCUAAGACUUCCCUCUUUCUGAACAUAUUGGUGGGUUGUUAUUAGUCUUGCUGGUUCCCCAGGAAGCUCAUGAACAGAAAGUCCUGCCUCUGUACUUUUUAAUGAAUGAGAGGCCCAUCCCAACAAAAGCAUGAAAACUUCAGAUUGGCUAGUGUCUUUUUAUAGCCCUUUUCUUUCCCAAGAGAUGCCCGGGACCUCACAAUGAGGUGCUUUGUAAGCCUCACACCAAGGUUGCUUUGGCACCUCCGUCACACAGAGCAUGUGCAGACUGUGACAGGCUUCCAGGGAAGCCACUGCCCACAUGUGCUUCUCUGGUUCCCUCAUUGGUGUUCGGGCAGAGGAGGCUGGUUCCUCCCGGUGAGCUGGGUGCUAUGACAGAUUAGACUUCCACGCACGAAAAUACACCCUGCACAUUUGAUGUACUGCUUUAAACUUAAAGACCUCUUGAGAGCCGAAAUUGUAAGGCCUUUCAAGUCACAAUGUGGAAACCAAGCAUUUUUCAGACGACUGCAUGUUAAAAUGCACCUUACGGAUAUUUACCCUACUGAGGACAAGUUUUGCUCUCAUUUACAAUCCAGGCCAAAAGAUAGCACUUUGAAGGUAUGGGCCACAGAAAUGACUCUUUCACCACAUAAAAUCUAAAUAAAAUCUGUUUCCUCUGACCCAGUGGUAGAAAUUUGGAGGCCUCCUCCUCUCCUUAAGGUCACUCUGCUUUGUUUAAUGGCACAGGGUUAAAAACACAAACUCUGAAGUCCCACUCUCUCCAUUCAAAGCCACACUACAAGCUUACUAGUUGCAAGACCUUGAUUACUUACUUAACUUCUGUGUCUCAGAUGUUCCAUUUAACGGGUGAUGACAGUACCUACCACAGAGGCUUGCUGUGGGUCGUAAAUGAAAUAAUGGUGUCUGGCACCCAAAACACUCCCAAUAAAGAUACAUAGAGUAUUAUUCAUUCCUUCUUGGUGCUUCCAUGAUUAGCGUGUUUUGGUCACAAGCUGAGUUGAACACUACUUUCAGAAGGAUGCAAAAUCUGAGUUUAGAAAAGAUAAUGCUACCGAAAUUAUUAUGCAAUAUUACUCCAGGACUCCUGGAGAUUAACAGCAAUUCUAAGCUGUUAGAGAUCUCAGAGGUCUUUUGCUCCAACUCUCUGCUUGUGUGGGUGGCAUAACUGGGCCCCAGGUCCUGCUGAGCCAGCGAGUGUUCUCACACAGGCAUAGUAAAGCAGCAAUAAUGCUUUGUUGUCUUGACUCAUUUUUUAAACAUAGAGUUUCGGAAUAAAGUAGUGGGAGCAGUUGUUUCCUAUUCUUCUUCAACUAGGAGAAGAGAUUUUUGAAAAAAUUAGCACCUUUCUUUCCAGUUAUGCUUCAGACUUUGAAACGGAAAGAAGGUUUAGGAUCUCAGCUUCCUGAAUAGUCCCGUGGUUAGGGUGACCAAACUCCCAUUUUCCAGAUAGAGUGCCGAUUUACGCCCGAUGCCCUGGCAUCCCAUCAGAUUAGCACUCCAUUUCACUCUCAAAAGUGUCUGAGUUUGGAUGGUGAAUGUUAUGAUUUCCCUACCCAAAAUGCUAUUUCAACAAGAGCAGUGGCGAGAGAAGUUGCUGAGCUUUGAAGUCUUCCUUUCCAGGAGGACAGGGAGAAAUCCUAUUUCCUGUGUUCUUUAAAGUAGAGGACUAAGGGGCUACAACAACCAUGAUCAUAUCUUCUACCAUAUAUGGAGCAUUUAAUAUGAGCAAUGAUCUGUACUACGUCUGCUGCAUCCAUUUUCUUUCAACUCUCUGAGGUAGGUAUUUCAUUUUCAUUUAUCGGGUAAGAAAAUUAAACUGAGGAUAUAGAACAGUAUAUGGUAGUAGUCAGGAUUUGAACCCACAGCAGUCUGCCACCAUGGUCUGUGCUCUGCUGUGCUGUACUAUUUUUCCCUACAUCCUGUACAUGGAGUGAAGAGUUCACAAAGUGGGCACUGUAAAGGUUUCCCUGAGCCUGGGGAAGCAUUUUCUAAAGCAAAGCCAAGAAGUGGACCUAAUUCUUGAGACAUAUAUCCUCUUUGUUUUGUUCUAUAAUUUAUGGUAAAAUAAAAAAUGUGGCUCAAAUGUCCCUCUGUGGUGGUAUCUCCGAGGGAGAGCUGGCACGGAGCUGCCUUUCCCCGGCCUUCCACUGAUCUUCACCCCUGAGGCAUCGGCCAUGAGGAAACGAAGAGGCCAACAGAGCACACCCACUGUUUCAUCACCUCAGCCCACCCUUCAUUUGCAGCUGCACCACUCUCCCUGGGGGCCAGUGAACUUUGUUUUCCUCUCUGUCUGAGUGGCAAUCCAACCAUGUGAAAGAGAAAUAGGAGAAAAGAAGCGUGUGUGUUUUAAAAAAGCAACAAUCAUUUAGUUUUGUGGGGUGAAUUGAUUUACCUCUCAUGGCUCCUUUUAGGAUUUUAGACCUAGAGAAAGAAAGAUUUUGGUGACACAAAAUGGCUUUGAGGUAACUAUUCAAAUCUAACUUCUGCCAAAAAAGAGGAAAAAAAAGAGAUUUGGAAUGGAAAAUCUUUUAGGUGUCUAUUUCUUUUGUAAAUCAAACUUUGGAAACACCAUAGGGCUGUGGGUUUAGAAACAGUUCAGAAGUUCUAGGAAACACCCAUUGAUAACAAUGAGAAAUAUUCCAUGUGUUUACUGGACAAUUUCUACCAUUGGAUCAUUAAGGCAUGCUUUAACUAUGAGGUCACUGAUGUUGUAAGUCUAGAAUUCAGGGGGUGAUCUGUUCCUUAAAGGAGUUCUGACAUGUCUUUGCCCAAGACUUUCAGAUGCUAUGGAUUGAUGCCACUCAGAGUUCUUAACUCAGGGAUAUAAAUCAGGUUGUAGCAUGAAUAAGGUGCGUUAGAAGUCUAACUUUCUGACAUAAGGUAAGAGGGAAAUGAGAUUAUUUAAACAGCCUGUGUUUACGCGGUGGCCAUCUUUUAAUGAAAAUUCUUCUCAAUCCAUUAAAAAAUACUAUUAAAUUAUCAAAUGUAGUUUUGUCCUCUGAAAGACAAAAGGGUAGUGUUUAGGCUAUCUGAAGAAUCCAUUCGACUGACAGAUGCAAACAAAUGCGGUUUUGUUGUCAUCUCUGGAUCCUUCUGAAAGCCCUGUGUACAGAGUUCAAACAGAGAGCCCCAAGAGGGUGGUCAGGAGGGAGAACGGGCUCCCCACUGUGCCAGCUCAUUUACCAUCACCACCCUGGGCUGAGAAGCAGGGCUCGGGGUGCUGUUCCCAGAUUACCUCACCCUGUCCACGUGAUCUUGUAUGCCAGGCUACAUUCUUCUACUCUGCAAUUGGUUUUUACAUAAAACAGUUGAAUAAUGAAACUUAGAACCAGCCUGAGAGGAAAAAAUAUAAAAACAUCUGCCUUUUUUCCUUUUUGACAUUAUUCUGAAGAUGCAAUCAAACAUAAUUUAGCUUUCCAUGCAGUGAUUACACUUUAAAAGUUGUGCCAAUCAUCCAGGUAGAGCUCAACACAGAAUAGGAGGCUGCAGAUGCAAUCUAUGGAGAACACUUAGCAAAGAAUGUUUUUUCUUUUUUUCCACAAUUUAACAUCCACUAAACUGGAUAAUGAGCAAGUAAUAUGUAUGAAAAACAUAUAAUUGAAUAUAUAUGUAUGUAUGUAUAUUUAGAGGCCAGUAUAUUUUGUUUCUUUGUAUUAGUUAUACCUUGAGUCUAUCUUAUGAAUAAGUCAGGUGGGACAUAAUCUAUGAUUCUUUUUACAAGAAUCUACUAUAAACUCUAGCAUUCAUUUACAAUUUAUGUGCCAUAAAAAAGAGGGUAUCAUAUGACUAAAGGUAACCAUCCAAUCCUCAGUCAUUAACAUUAGGCAGCAUUUGGAUGACAAGAGGAAAUUAGAAGGUAAGGACUUUCUAAACUGCCAGAAGAUUAAAUGAAUGGACGACAUGACUGAAUAAUACAGCUGACAUUAUCAAGCACUGUUUUAUCAUGAACGUCCUUUACAAUUCAAUACACACCUCUUAAUAAGAAUAAAAUGAAUCUUUUGGAGAAUUUCAGGAUACACCCACUGUAUGAAAUGAGAAACACCAGCUUGUGUCCGGUGACACUUUUGCCCUUUUGAAGUGAUGGGGUUGACAUUUUCCAGCACUAAUGCUAUAUUUAUUCACGUCUUGGGUUAUCAUUUCAUUGAUCAUUAUUCAGUUCUGUGAAUGAUCACUAUGUUCUUGAAAGACAUUUUACCUUGCUUGUUGCCUCUUAAAUAGAAAUUUAAAAAAAUUAGAAUAUAA